ensembl:lncRNA
UCUCCGGAUGGUGAUUUGGGUAGAUUUCUUUAUAUCCUAAUUAACACUGCUCAGUUAGAAGUAAGUUUUGCUGAAAGUUUUUAUUAGGGUAAAAUUCUACUUUUUAGUCCAUGUAAAUCUUUAGACAGUAAGGCUUUGUAGUUUUCACUGCUUAAAAGGAAAAAUGGCACAGAAAAAAACUAUAGUCAGUUAUAUUUUAAGUUUCAAAAGUCUAGACUUUUGGGGGAAUAGAGAAAAAAAGAAAUUAAGGGCAUAUUACAGCAUAGUCCAUGUUGAAGAAUCUAAAAAUGUUUUGUCCCUGAACAUCACACCAGCUGGACUAGAUAAAGCUUACCAAACUAAGGCAGAAUAAAGAGGGUAAGAUAUGGGAAGACUAAGAGAUUUGAGGUGCUAGGGAGUUCCUAAGAGCUGACCCUACGCUGCUUUCUCCCAGGCCUAGUUAGGAAAGGCUAGAUGAUAGACCUUCGCAAGAAAUUUGGGGGUUCUGAUGACGGAAGGACUAAUGUGUCCUUUUACAAGGAAUGCACAGGAAAGUGACAAAGCCACGAGUUUCCUCUGGCCCCAGCCUGGUGCGAAAGCAGGAAAAGCUCAGCCAUCAGGGAUGCCUUUGGAAUACGAUGAGGUAAAUGCCUAUCACAAAAUCGUGUUCCCCAAGCUCCAGGCUUUGCACUCCAGAGGAGCUCUGUGGUUUCUAAGAGCCAACUGGUGGAUCACAGGAACCGCAGAAUGUCAUCGAUUCUAUCAAGAAGUAAAACUUAAAUGACAUGCAGAUGGAGCACUCUGGACUCUUACCAAUUUCCACUACAAACAUAUAGUUGGCCUCAAUGGUGAAUCUGAAGAUUGUCUGUGGAAUGGAAACUGGAGAUUUUGACAAUAAAUUGUUCAUGAAUGGAUUCUAAAAAAUCCACCAAUAUUCAAAAUAAUCAUUUGUGAGUGCUAAAAGUUACACAUACGCAAAUAUAGAGAC